AUUGAACGCUGGCGGCAGGCCUAACACAUGCAAGUCGAGCGGAUGAAGGGAGCUUGCUCCUGGAUUCAGCGGCGGACGGGUGAGUAACGCCUAGGAAUCUGCCUGGUAGUGGGGGAUAACGUCCGGAAACGGGCGCUAAUACCGCAUACGUCCUGAGGGAGAAAGUGGGGGAUCUUCGGACCUCACGCUAUCUGAUGAGCCUAGGUCGGAUUAGCUAGUUGGUGGGGUAAAGGCCUACCAAGGCGACGAUCCGUAACUGGUCUGAGAGGAUGAUCAGUCACACUGGAACUGAGACACGGUCCAGACUCCUACGGGAGGCAGCAGUGGGGAAUAUUGGACAAUGGGCGAAAGCCUGAUCCAGCCAUGCCGCGUGUGUGAAGAAGGUCUUCGGAUUGUAAAGCACUUUAAGUUGGGAGGAAGGACAGUAAGUUAAUACCUUGCUGUUUUGACGGUACCAACAGAAUAAGCACCGGCUAACUUCGUG
rnacentral:rRNA from 1 species